CCAGGAAAGAGGCGGGGCGUUUCGUGGUGUUCGGCAAGAAAAGAAACUAUGGAUGGAAACUAAUCAAGAAGAGAAGCAACCUGGAACUAAGAAGUUUGGAUGAGAUUUGCCUUCGGAAGAUAGCUGGAGUGGGCGUGGCCUGUGCAUGACACAUCUGGUCCGUAGGCCGCCAGUUUGACACCUCUGCUCAAACUAGGCAGAAUAUGAUUUUGUCCUGAUUUUGCAAGCUGGACACACGGAAGAUAGAGACUGGUUUUCACUUCCCAGAUUUGUUGGAAGAUUGCACCAAAAGGCAAGACAAGAAAAAAU